UACGUAGGGUGCAAGCGUUGUCCGGAAUUAUUGGGCGUAAAGAGCUCGUAGGCGGUUCGUCGCGUCGGCUGUGAAAACCCGGAGCUCAACUCCGGGCCUGCAGUCGAUACGGGCGGACUUGAGUGUUGCAGGGGAGACUGGAAUUCCUGGUGUAGCGGUGAAAUUCGUAGAUAUCAAGCAGGACACCUGCGGCGAAGGCGGCCUUCUGGACGAUGACUGACGCUGAGACCCGAAAGCGUGGGGAGCAAACAGG
rnacentral:rRNA from 1 species